GUUGGAGACAGGUUACUUGGCUAGAUGGAUUUUUGGUCUGACAGAUGAUGGCUAUUCUUCUAUAAGACUUUUAUAGGGUAAAGGAACUGAAGAGUGGAGAACCUUUAGUUCUCUGCUGUCUUGCAGCUAACAAAAGAAGAUUGUCUUUCAAGUUUAGCUUAGCUGAUAGCAUUUGGGCUCUAUCCAUCAAAAUCCAAACAAAAUUCUGAAUGUUGGCAUUCCAGGAAAUGUUAUCUCCAGAAAUACUUGCUAUCCUUUUCUGCUCCCUGCAACACAGAAACAUUCCUAUCAAUUCAGUACUCUGUUUAGUUUCUGUGUGGUUUUGGUGAGUGAUAUGCAAGCAUUGAAAUACAUGGUGCAGGCUGUCCCUAAAGUGUCAAAAUCAUCUGCAGUAUGCCUUUACUUCAGCUACCAAUUAUCUACAGAAAAAUCGCUGUCAAGGUACGGUUCGGAGGGAGGAGGUCACAAUGCAGCAAGAUGUUCCUUUUAUUAGAAGUCUGGAGGAGAAGUCUACAGCUUGCCUUCUGCAGAGAGUGGCUCAGAAGAGUCGGAGCUUCACUAAGGAAGAUAAGAGAGAAUGUCAAGCAAAAGUCACAAAUCUCUAGCACAGAAAGCGCCCGUACAGCACCCUGGCAGGCACAACUCGUUUCAGCUGGUGAGGACAGUGCUACAGCUACCCUGUGCCAGCUAGAUCAGUGUUUGUAGAUCGGGCAGGCAAGAGGACUGUUCAGUAGGACUCCUUGCUUUCUCCAAGGGUUUUGGCAGAGCAACUGGAGAAUUACCAGCCACACCCACAAGAGGAGAUGUUGCCUACUAGUGUUUUGAAAAGUCCCGUCAGGCACAAGUGAAGGAUCAGUGCCCUGGGAUUGCAGUGCAUCUCAUCAAGAAUAAUGCCUUUAUUCACCCGCCACACCGAAAUCACAGAAGGGAAGCAGGAAGAAGAGGACCGCAGACACCUCACGCUAUUCUAAGGAGCAAAGUGCACUCCAGGCUUGCAUUCAUCUGUGUACAGGUUCAUUGAUAUUUAAUACUGAGCUAAUCUGUUAUAUAUUUUCGUAAAAAAUGUUUCUAAGGAAUGCACAGGGCUUCCACUUGAUGGCUGUGUUGUCUUCAAAUUGGGACCAACCGGGAUUUUUUGAAACGCAAUUUAUUUCCCCUUUGAAGUAGUAAGUUUUGCCCUUUUUCACUGAGAGUUCAAUUGUUACACUGUAGCUGGGAAAAAAUAGCGUAUCUGGAUUGCAGAGAUUUAUGCACACGAGAGGGUGAGGUGGGCAUUCCNNNNNNNNNNNNNNNNNUAAGCAAGUGUCUUUACAGAGAUACGUUACCAAAAAUGUAAAGGGGUCUGAGAGCCAGACUCUUAAUAAGUCUAGUCUGAGUCUUUACUUCAGAGUAGCUACAUUAUCUCAG
rnacentral:lncRNA from 1 species